rnacentral:rRNA from 1 species
GCAAGGUAACCGGCGGACGGGUGAGUAAUGCGUGGGAAUCUUCCUUGAAGAGAGGCAUAGCCCGCCGAAAGGCGGGGUAAUUCCUCAUGUGAUCGCAAGAUUAAAGCAGCAAUGCACUUCAAGAUGAGCCUGCGUCCUAUCAGCUUGUUGGUGGGGUAAUGGCCUACCAAGGCGACGACGGGUAGCUGGUCUGAGAGGAUGGUCAGCCACAAUGGCACUGAGACACGGGCCAUACACCUACGGGUGGCGCAGUCGGGAAUUUUGGACAAUGGGCGAAAGCCUGAUCCAGCGACGCCGCGUGGAGGAUUGAAGGCCUUCGGGUUGUAAACUCCUUUUGCUAGGGAAGAUUAUGACGGUACCUAGCGAAUAAGCACCUGCUAACUACGUGCCAGAAGCCUCGGUAAUACGUAGGGUGCAAGCGUUAUCCGGAUUUACUGGGCGUAAAGUGUUGCGUAGGCGGAUUAUCGCAUCCUGUUUUAAAUCCUCUGGCUCAACCAGAGACUUUGAUGGGAGAUGGGUAGUCUUGAGGAAAAGAGAGGGCAUUGGAACGGAUCAAGUAGCAGUGAAAUGCGUUGAUAUGAUCCGGAACACCAAAGGCGUAGGCAGAUGCCUGGCUUUUUCCUGACGCUGAGGCACGAAAGCUUGGGGAGCGAAGCAGAUUAGAGACCUGCGUAGUCCAAGCCGUAAACGAUGGAUGCUAGAUACCCGGGGUUUCCUGGGUGUCGUAAGCUAACGCGUUAAGCAUCCCGCCUGGGGAGUACGAGCGCAAGCUUAAAACUCAAAGGAAUUGAC